rnacentral:rRNA from 1 species
GACGAACGCUGGCGGCGUGCCUAAUACAUGCAAGUAGGACGCACAGUCUAUACCGUAGCUUGCUACACCAUAGACUGUGAGUUGCGAACGGGUGAGUAACGCGUAGGUAACCUGCCUAUUAGAGGGGGAUAACUAUUGGAAACGAUAGCUAAUACCGCAUAACAGUAUGUAACACAUGUUAGAUGCUUGAAAGAUGCAAUUGCAUCGCUAGUAGAUGGACCUGCGUUGUAUUAGCUAGUAGGUAGGGUAAUGGCCUACCUAGGCGACGAUACAUAGCCGACCUGAGAGGGUGAUCGGCCACACUGGGACUGAGACACGGCCCAGACUCCUACGGGAGGCAGCAGUAGGGAAUCUUCGGCAAUGGGGGGAACCCUGAUCGAGCAACGCCGCGUGAGUGAAGAAGGUUUUCGGAUCGUAAAGCUCUGUUGUUAAGGAAGAACGAGUGUGAGAAUGGAAAGUUCAUACUGUGACGGUACUUAACCAGAAAGGGACGGCUAACUACGUGCCAGCAGCCGCGGUAAUACGUAGGUCCCGAGCGUUGUCCGGAUUUAUUGGGCGUAAAGCGAGCGCAGGCGGUUAGAAAAGUCUGAAGUGAAAGGCAGUGGCUCAACCAUUGUAGGCUUUGGAAACUGUUUAACUUGAGUGCAGAAGGGGAGAGUGGAAUUCCAUGUGUAGCGGUGAAAUGCGUAGAUAUAUGGAGGAACACCGGUGGCGAAAGCGGCUCUCUGGUCUGUAACUGACGCUGAGGCUCGAAAGCGUGGGGAGCGAACAGG